AUUUCCAAUGCAGAUGAACAACUAGUACUUCAAUUAUAUUUUUAGGGAGUUGGUCUGGGACAGUGAGUGUCCUGUGUGGGGUCAAACAGCUAGACUGUAUCAAAGGUAGACUUUCAGCCCAAGUGACUCUACUGACACAGACUAGGAGUUUAUUAAAUUAUGGUUGAAUUGAAUUGCCUUGAAUUGGACCAUGAUGACCUCUACUCAGAGAGAGACAAAUGUUAUGAGCAAAUAGCACCUGGGUCUCUGUGAACCUCUUAACUUGGACCUUUUCUAAAGUCAAAGAGGGAAGUUUGAGUCUGGCUUUGAGGAGCCUUUACCUCCCAUCUUGGAAGGGCUGUCUCAUGUUCCUACCUCAUUACAAAAACCCACUCGCUGGCUGCCAUCCCCUCCAUCCCUUGGGGCUAUGUUUCCGGAUUUUCAAUUUCCUAAAUCUCUUUCCUACUUCUACUUGAGAAGUGAACCCAAGAGAAGAACAAAGAGUAUUGCCUAUGAAGUUGGAGGUCUUGGGUUUAAAUUGUGCCUUGACUACUUCCUACCUGUUCCAGGGCAGAAGUUCUAACCUGAAUGGAUUAACAAUCCCUGGGAAUGGAGCAUGCUUUUUGGAG
rnacentral:lncRNA from 1 species